AACGAACGCUGGCGGCAUGCCUAACACAUGCAAGUCGAACGAGACCUUCGGGUCUAGUGGCGCACGGGUGCGUAACGCGUGGGAACCUGCCCUUAGGUUCGGAAUAACUCCCCGAAAGGGGUGCUAAUCCCGGAUAAUGUCUUCGGACCAAAGAUUUAUCGCCUUGGGAUGGGCCCGCGUUGGAUUAGCUAGUUGGUAGGGUAAAAGCCUACCAAGGCGACGAUCCAUAGCUGGUUUGAGAGGAUGAUCAGCCACACUGGGACUGAGACACGGCCCAGACUCCUACGGGAGGCAGGAGUGGGGAAUAUUGGACAAUGGGCGAAAGCCUGAUCCAGCAAUGCCGCGUGAGUGAUGAAGGCCGUAGGGUUGUAAAGCUCUUUUACCCGGGAUGAUAAUGACAGUACCGGGAGAAUAAGCUCCGGCUAACUCCGUG
rnacentral:rRNA from 1 species